rnacentral:snRNA from 1 species
AAAAAGGGCUUUUGUCAUGAGAGGCACAUGUAGGGCAACUCAAUUGCUCUUCCUGCAAAAUCGACAUCAAGAGAUUUUGGAAACAUAAUUGUUUGGUAGUUGGACAGCUGGUGAUUUUGGUCCUGACAAAUUUACUCAUUGUCCAU